AUUGAACUAUAGUUGAUUUACAAUGUUUUGUUAGUUUCUGGUGUAUGGCAGCUAUUCUUUUUCAGAUUUUUUCCCAUUAUAGGUUAUCAAAAGACAAUGAAUAUAGUUCCCUGUGCUAUACAGUAGGACCUUGUUUAUCUAUUUUAAACAAGGUAAUUUGCAUCUGCUAAUCCCAAACUCUUUAAGUUAUGCCCUCCUUCCCCUUUGGUAACUAUAAGUUUGUUUCUUAUGUGUGCGAGUCUGUUCUUUUCUGUAAAUAAGUUCAUCUCUAUCAUUCUUUUCUACAUUCCACAUAUAAGUGGUAUCAUACUUGUCUUUUUCUGUCUAACUUCACUUAGUAUGUCGCUUCAAAUAAAACAGUUAUUGUUUUAAGUCCCUAAAUUUUAGGGUUGUUUUUCUCAAGCAGGGGUUGAUGACAGGAGAGCAUCACAGCUCUGCUUCUCAGCUAGACUGAGGUUUGCUCCAAGGAUGGGGGUGGGGUGGGGUGGGUCUGCCCCUGCUAAUUGAUGGGCAGCCCUGGCCACUGAGCACAGUCUUCAACUACUUUGCCCUGGGAGAACAAACAAGAAUUUGAUGGAUGUCCCACCACCUCUGAAGCUGCAACAGGACCAAUGAUACACAGGUGGGGAGUUCCUCAAAGUGUCUUCAGAACAGGAGGAGAGCACCCCCACCACCACCUGUGCUUGGACCCUUCACCCCUCCCCUACCCUGAAUCAGCAAAAUGACCCAGAAAAGCACCCCCAGCUCUCCACUCCCCAGAACACAUGAUUCCACCUCAGGCUAAGGGUUUCCAACCAUGACCCAUGAGGGUCCUUCCAAAAACAGAUUCUUUCCCUCUGGGGAGGGGGAAGUCUGUACAAGGGACAGGAAAACAGUUCAUGAUCAGAGGUGACAUAGGAGGAAGCACAGGGAUGUGAAUCAUUGGAAGAUGGAAAUAACUUCAGCCAGGUGAAUCGCCUUGACAACCAGGUAGAGCAGCAGAGACAAUGUGUGAAAGUCAAAUGGACUGGGUGUGGGCAUGGGACACACAAUGCUGGUGCCCAGUGUCCUGUCUGAUCCUAUAUCCUUGAGCAGUGCCCACUCUCACUGGCUGACCACCUGUGUGCUCUGACAGUGGGCUCACUAACGUGAACAGGACAGUGUCCAGAUGGUGCUCAGGUCUACUCUGACCUUUUCUCCAGUGGGAGGGGGUCACUGCCUCAGUCCAUCAGGUGAUAAGAGUUAAGGCAGGUGCUGCCUUAACUCUUAACUCUUGCCUGGAGUUCUUGGAGCACAGCUUCCACCUGGAUGAAGCUUCCACCUGAGCAUGACAGCCCAUGCCAGAACCCAGUGACUCAGAGGGAAGAGGAUAACAGAGUCCUCCCAGCCCCUAGACCAGAUGCUUUGGUUGGGCCUGAAGCCAUCAACCAUACAGCUUUCCCAACAUCCCUAUUCCAGGUCUUUGUUUCCAAGCCUCCUCUUGGACUUGCUUUACUCAGGUGAGAACACACAUCUUAGAGUUUGGAAACUGAGACCUCUUUUAGUAAAGGAAGAAAUUUUAGAGAAAAAGGAAAAGUGGGAUGAUGAAUGAGGAGAUAAAUCAACAAGCAAAAAGCCUGCAGGAAAAGCAAUGAUCUGGAAGAUGAGGGCUCAGGUACAACCCACACAGCAGAACCAGCAUUUGCACAGCACUGCUGAGAAUCUAUACACAACUUAAUUGUAUGCAAACAAUUUGCACUUUGAGACACUCUGUUAAGUUUUAUUAUUCAUUUCUCACAUUUCAUUAUGUCUUUGUUAAUGUCCCACUUUUAUCUUUCAUAUUUUAUCUUUUGUGGCAAAAUUCCUUACAGCCAAUUGGUUAUGCAGAGAAAGUACAGCAAAGAUGCUUACAGGGAACAUAUCUGGAACCACCAGUGUGAGCUCUCACCCAGACUGCUGGCUGGCCAGUCCGCCUGAAUGGAACAGGACACUGCUCUGACCUCCCAAGUUGUCCCUGGACCUCCAACCUUCAUGACAGUACCAUAAAUGAAAAGAAUCUCGAGGCUUGGGUUAAUGGAAUAGCUCACACCAGCCUCAAUUGGAAAGUCUUGCCUUGAUCAGGAAAAUUAUUCAAUCCAUUUUUAUACUUUCUGCUUUCAGUCCUUACUAGAAUGUUUACUUAACCAAUGCAAAUUGCAAGAAAAUCUAUACUUAAGAAAAUUGGAAAGAGAAUUGCAAGGAAAUCUUAAACUUAAGACUUUUUCUUUCCUAGGGUUUUGUUAUCCAGCCAUUAGGAGGUAUCAGCUCAUAAAGGUAACAGGAAAAAGCAAGCCCCAGAGAACACAAUCAAGCCUGUUUAAGUAAGUGCUGUGCAGGGCAUCCAGGAAAUGGCUUCUCUAAAGUACUACAGCUUCACUGGGAAACAGUCUUUGUCAAAGGUUAGCAUCUAGUGCAAACAAAACAUAGCCACUUAUUCUUCCUUAAUAUCUUAAAAAAUCUGGAGAACUGAACCUGGCUAUCUGCUAGGAACUAGGACAAGAAAAAGGGACUAAAGAAAUCCUUCUAAAAGUCACCUUGUCAGGUGUACAGAGGGACUGAUGUCCUCUGGGUGAUGCCAAGAGGUAACCCUGGAGCCAAGGCUGUGCCUAAGCCAGGUGCCUCCAUCAUGUUUACUCAAGCCUCAAAAGCUGCUGGCAUCGGAAAUGAUGGUGACCAUCACAGGAGCCAGCUAGGAGGGCUUCCCAUCCACAGACUCUGGGCCAUCACAUCCACAGCCUUGCAAUAAUUUCAAGUCAAAGGGAACUUUAAUAUUUUACCAGAAGGAGAUACCCACUUCAUGGUUUGCCUACUGUCUGAAGGGCUAGUCCAUAUCCCAAAGCAGGAGCUAGAGUGAGACUCUUCCUGAUGCCAGGCAGAGGAAGCGCCAGAACCACCACCACAGCAGGGGAGAACUGAGCCUUGGUAAUACCUGCCACUUCUCCAGGGUAAAAGGGCACUGCCUGGCUGCCAGGACCAGAGUCCCUAUCCAGCUGGCCAUCAGCAUGCCCCUGCCUCCUGCCUGCCUGUGGUGAACUCUCUGCCUGGAGGUCUCUGUCCCUUUUGGGUCCUUGGUGCCUAUAUUAGUUAGUUUGGGCUGCUGGAACAAAGUGCCACAGGUGGGGUGACAACAGACCUUUACUGUUUCUCAGCUUGGGGCUGCAACUCCAUGGUCAAAGUGUGGGGAGGGUGGUUUCUGUGGGUGAUCUGCCUGCCAGGGAAGGACCCACUCAGGCGCCUCCCAUGGCUGGUGGAUGGCCAACUUCAUGUUCACAUGGCCUUCGCCCCCUGUGCAAAUUCCCCUUCUGAGAAGAACACAGGUCACUUUGGAUCAGGGCCCACCCUAAUGACCUUGUUUUACCUUAAUUUACCUCUUUAAAGGCCUUCCUUCCAAAUACAGCCACAGUCUUUGUGUCUGUAUGUGUUUUCCCAUUUUUAUUUUCCACAUUUUGAUGUUAAAGUACUUGAGGUUCUCUUCCUUAAAACUUUAUUGGACUAUAGUUUCAGGUGUACAGUGAAGUGAAUCAGUUAUACAGAUACAUAUACCCAUUCUGCUUUCCCAUACAGGUUAUUACAGCCUACUGAGUAGAUUUCCAUGUGCUAUACAGUAGGUUCUUGUGAAUCAUCUAACCUAUGCAGUAGUGUAUAUAUGUUAGUCCCAUCCUCCCAAUCCCCUCUCUCUCCUCCACAGAUUCCCCUAUGGUAACCAGAAGAUUGGUUUUGAAAUCCAAAUACAAUCACAUUCUGAGGUACUGAUGGUUAGGAUACUAGCACUUGAAUUUGGGGGGACAUGGCUCAGCCCACAACAUCACUGCUAAGAGCAUCAUCAUUUUAUUACAGGGAAAUCACAGCACAAAGAGAAGCCCAAAGUCUUAAAAAAGCAAAGGGAUCUGCACCAACUCCAGGGUGGGGGAACCAGAAGUGUGGUGUCCAGAGAACUGAAGGGAAAAGCUUUCUUCAGGUGGCCAUCAAGGUUGCAGGUCUGUGUGCAGGUGGCUGGGCCUCAGAUGUAACUAAGAGGAAGGCAGGCAGGCACCUGUUGGAGUCAGGGCCCAGUGCUGGGGUCAGUACUGAGACCUGACUCAGCCCCUGGCGGGAGUGCAGGAAAGGGGCAGCCAAGUCUGCUGCUGCCCCCACCUCUACCUUCAACUAUCCCACGAGUCACCUUAGCCCACAUCAUCUCUAACCCCAACAUUACUCCCUCAUUGGCCUCUGAAUCUCUUCCUUUUUUAAACUCAAAUUUUAUUUCAAAAGAAUAACCAGAAUCAAGCCAGUAAACAUGACUUAAUUGCUGAAUCCAAAGGGUGGACCUGGAGGGGCGGGAGGCAGAUUUCAAGGUGAGGACCAGUGAGAGAGAUACAGGACUCCUGGGCCCAUAAAAUUAUAAGAAGUUGCAGGAAGGGGUGGAGGAUCUGAUGAAAUGGGCAUAAUGUGUCCUCAGAGCCAAGCUGGAAGUAACUAAAAAGUCUAAGGAGAGCCAAAGAAAUUCAAAAUAGCACCAAGCAAUUAAGGAAAUUCACUGUAAAACUAAAAUUGCAGAUUUGAAGCCUUAAGAAUCCCCCAGGUUUCUGUAAGGAAGCAGUGCCUUGGGCUGCUGGGCUGCAGGACCCAGCCUUGUAAAUAAGGAAGGACUGGCCAGAGAAAGCACCAGGUACAGGCUAAAACACAAGUCAUGGUCCCAGCCCCCUGGUGGAUGGUCAACCCCAGCCUGAGACUCUGGGUCACACUGCUGUGCUGGUCUGAUUCCUUCACUCCAAGAAGCCUUGACGUGACAAAGAAACCAAGGAAUUCCCACUGUGGCACAGCGGGUUAACAACCAGUUGGAUCUGUGUCCGAUUUGAUCCCAGUCUGGUGUGAAUCGGGCAUUGCCACAGCUAGAGCACAGGUCACAGAUGCCAAAGCUGUAGCACAGGUUACUGAGGAAAGGGAGGAGCAGGAUACUUAGGGGGUUUUGCAAAAAGACCAGGUAGCUGGAACAUGAAAAAAUUACUGUUAAUUAAAAAAAAAAAAAAAAAGACAUUACAAGUUAUUGAACUCAGCACUUUUCUCUAUAUGGGAAGAGGCGAGAGUCUGGGCUGACUGAAAUCACUCCCUUGAUGGGCACCUCUGCUCUCUGGGGCCAGUGCCCUGCUCUUCUCCAUCCUGAGUCCCCUCAGGGUGCACAGUCAGGGUGGCUGCAGUGGCUGAGGGUAUGGUGGUGAGCAGCCCCUUCAUUGCCAUCCUGGCUUCCCUCAGGGCUCACCCUCAGGGCUGCUAUAAUAUGAUGGCUUGAUGGCCACGGCAUCCUUUGUUUACUGAUGUGGCAGGAGAUAUUUUUCACUCACAGUUUCCUGAGUCUAUGUUCUCCAGGACAGUGUGACAUGACCCUCUGAGUCAUUGCAUCCUUUGGAGCAAAGAGCUGGACAAGUCCAGAUCCAAAACUAAGGGCUGUGCUGCAGGCCAUGACCCUCCCUUAUCAGGCUGCUGGAGGCCCACAUGGGAAGUGCCAUGUUCAUGGACCACCUUUGUCCCUCCAUCUGGGAAAUCCCCACCUGCUCAACUGGGCA
ensembl:lncRNA